ensembl:lncRNA ESAM-AS1 ESAM antisense RNA 1
GCGCGGGGUCCGCCGCCCGGGGGCGCCCCCAGCGCGCGGACGGCGGGACCCUGCGGCCUCCUCCAGGUCUGGACGCAGGGAGGGGUGAGACUGUUCUGGCCAAAGAGACUGGAGAUCCAGUAUCAGCAAGCUACUUUCUUGCAUUUAGCAAUGAAUACUAUGGGAUUAUGGCUAAAAGAUGGUCAAGACUGCCUCAGCCAUUAGGAUCAGAAUUCUAAGUUCCAAAGAAGAGCAAACUCAAGAGGAUUUCCUCAGGCCUCUGACUAUAGAUGCUGCCUGGGGAGAACAGGUGCUACACUCAAAACAUUCUCAUUUUAUUUAUAUCCUCCCUGAACUAGUACCCAACUCCAUAACCCCAGACUCAAAUAACAGAAAUAAAAGCCAUCUCACUGAUUA